CUGGGCUCGAUUGAACGCUGGCGGCAGGCCUAACACAUGCAAGUCGAACGGUAACAGGAAGCAGCUUGCUGCUUUGCUGACGAGUGGCGGACGGGUGAGUAAUGUCUGGGAAACUGCCUGAUGGAGGGGGAUAACUACUGGAAACGGUGGCUAAUACCGCAUAACGUCGCAAGACCAAAGAGGGGGACCUUCGGGCCUCUUGCCAUCAGAUGUGCCCAGAUGGGAUUAGCUUGUUGGUGAGGUAACGGCUCACCAAGGCGACGAUCCCUAGCUGGUCUGAGAGGAUGACCAGCCACACUGGAACUGAGACACGGUCCAGACUCCUACGGGAGGCAGCAGUGGGGAAUAUUGCACAAUGGGCGCAAGCCUGAUGCAGCCAUGCCGCGUGUAUGAAGAAGGCCUUCGGGUUGUAAAGUACUUUCAGCGGGGAGGAAGGUGUUGUGGUUAAUAACCGCAGCAAUUGACGUUACCCGCAGAAGAAGCACCGGCUAACUCCGUGCCAGCCGCCGCGGUAAUACGUCGUGACUGGGAAACCCCCUGGCGA
rnacentral:rRNA from 1 species